rnacentral:rRNA from 1 species
GACGUAGGGCGCGAGCGUUGUCCGGAUUUAUUGGGCGUAAAGAGCUCGUAGGCGGUUGGGUAAGUCGGGUGUGAAAACUCCAGGCUCAACUUGGAGACGCCACCCGAUACUGCUCUGACUUGAGUUCGGUAGGGGAGUGGGGAAUUCCUGGUGUAGCGGUGAAAUGCGCAGAUAUCAGGAGGAACACCGGUGGCGAAGGCGCCACUCUGGGCCGAAACUGACGCUGAGGAGCGAAAGCCAGGGGAGCAAACGGG